rnacentral:rRNA from 1 species
GACGAACGCUGGCGGCGUGCUUAACACAUGCAAGUCGAACGGGUCUGCCCUGUUUUUUGCGGGGUGGGUCAGUGGCGAACGGGUGAGUAACACGUGAGUAACCUGCCCCUCACUUCUGGAUAACCGCUUGAAAGGGUGGCUAAUACGGGGUGUUCUGGCUGUGCCGCAUGGUGUGGCUGGGAAAGAUUCACUUUUGUGGUGUUUUGGUGGGGGAUGGGCUCGCGGCCUAUCAGCUUGUUGGGGGGGUGAUGGCCUGCCAAGGCUUUGACGGGUAGCCGGCCUGGGAGGGUGGGCGGUCACACUGGGACGGAGAUACGGCCCAGACUCCUGCGGGAGGCAGCAGUGGGGGGUAUUGCACAAUGGGCGGAAGCCUGAUGCAGCGACGUCGCGUGAGGGAUGGAGGCCUUCGGGUUGUGAACCUCUUUCGCCGGUGAAGAAGGUCCUGCUCUUUGUGGUGGGGUUGACGGUAGCCGGGUUAUGAAGCGCCGGCUAACUACGUG